ACCCGAUUUAUCUAUCGAUAUUAAAAGAAAUCUCGAGUUUUUCUUAUGCAUGAAUAGAAAUAACACCGCGUGAGCAAGGUGCAAUGAAAAUAUUUUUGCACAAAAUGGUGAAGCAGAAAACAAAGAUAAAAACGUACUAUGGAUUAUCAUUGGAAGUGUCUAAUGUAGCGUCAAAUUGUUUUAAAAUUUCAGACAAAUUUGAGACUUUGUUUUUGAUCUUAUUCGCAAGAAUUUGCUUGAAAAUGUACGUUCACAGGAUGUGUAUUGGAUAUUAUUAUUUCUUUAAAAAUAUAGAGAGAGUGUAUGGGAACACUCGAGUGUAUAUCGACCACGCAAUGUAUAUCGCGCAUUCGUUGCCCAGUAACGCAUAGGAAUGCUCACGCUACCUUGAUGUUAUGGAACUACAGUUAUAAUUUAUUUAUUUCUUCAGAACAAUUAUUUAAAAAACCUCUUUUUUUCUUAUUAGAUAUCUACAAUAUAUAUCCUCAAACUUAAUAUAACAUUUAUAUUGAUAAUUUUUUUAUUAAUUUAUAGUUACCACUGCUAUUAUACAAUUUGCCGUGAAUCAGAUUAAUUCGCAUAAAGAAGACAGAAUUGAGUCACAUUAAAGGGAAAUGGAAUAAGUUUCUUGAUCAAUCUGACGCGCAAGAAAUACUUCUCUGUCUUCGUAAAUUUUUAAGCAUCUCUAAUAUCGUCGCGCGCACAGAAAUUUUGUCGACCAAUUCUGCGGACCAACCGAUCUGUGAUAUUUCGCUGAGUAUUUUCACGAGAAGACGUAACAUCAAAAACGCGACGCGCGUUUGUUAACGGUAAGUGGUAAAUGACACGUCGGGACCAAGCGACAUCCUCCCGUUUUCCAAGGAUGUUCAAUCUUUAUCAGAGCCUGAAUAAGAAGGAUGACGGUGGUGAUGGGCAGCGGAACCGCGAGUCGGAGGUGACUGGACACGACAGAUUCUGUCAGCAUCGUACUGGGCAUUCGAGCACCCGUCGUCGGCGCCGUGCCGUUAAUCGCAGAACGCAGAGCGCUACCGAGUUGAAUGCGAGGGCGAUGAGUACAGCGCGAGGGUCGUUGCGACGGGGUCGCAGCGUGAGUACGGAGGACGAGAAUGAGAGCGAGGACGACAAGGGUCAUCAACUAGCGAACAAGCUGGACAAUCUGGCGCGGUUGCUCUUCAGCCGCGUAUCAGCAGCACGGGGAUAUAAGGAUCAGAGUGACAUCAAGAAUGGCCGUUACACAGCACUAAAUCAUGGGCCGAAAUCUGUCAGUGAAGACGGGGUCGAGUACGUGGAAAUGGAGAAGAGAUCCCGCGAUCGUGCUUUAUCAAUCUGCCGGGACUACAUCGAGAAAACGCCGCGUUUCGCCCUCAUCAAGCAACUCAAUAAUAUCGGAUCGAGGGUGGAUAAGUAUUGGUUCAUGGUGAGGGACACGUCGCUAAAGACGGACAGACUGUUGACUUUGGUACCGCUGAAUCAGAACUGUCCGCUAACUGUCUGUCCCUCCACUAAGGACAUCUUGAACAAUCUGUUUCUGGCCUUGCAACAUCCCUACAUCUGUCCCGUUUUUCACGUCGAUUUUCUUGAGUACGAGGACCAAACGUACAUCGUCCUGGUGCAGCCUGUCAACCAAGGUAGCCUGAAGGAUCUAGUUUACGGCAUCGAACGGAACUGCUGGAAUGAAGACUGGACGCACAAGUAUGCUGCGCGAGGCAAAGAGCUCACGCUACCACAGGUGCAACGAAUGGGUCGGCAGAUAUUGGAAGCGCUAGUGUUCCUGAAGGAACGAGGAUUUCCCAUGGUAACUCAUCUUCAUUCGGGCAAUGUGGUGAUCCAAAACGGCGUUGCGAGGCUGGCAGGUCUGGAGAAUACGCUUCUAGGCUUUACGAGUCGCAUACAUCCUAUUGUCACGUCUCGAUUAACACAUUCCUCCUCGAUCGAUAUUAUAUGUUUUGGACAUAUGCUGUUCGAAAUGUGCGCCGGUUAUGAAUUAUGUACCUUCAGACCAUCCGCCGUCCAAUUAUCCGACAUUGAAAUGUAUCCACAGGUUGUAAGAUUGCUCGAAUCAAUAUUCACGGAAUCCGACAAUCGUUUCACCAGCGUAGAGGAGUUAUUGAUCCACGAUCUCUUCAGGAACAUCGACCUCCGCGAGAUGCGAUGCGCGGCCGUAACCGUAUUUCGUCCGACUCUGACGCCCUCCAUAAUGAGCUUACUCGACGGUAUUAAACGGCAAGAUGCCGGGAAAGGGUGCGUUCACUUUCAAUAUAACACACAUAAAUUAUAUCAAGUACUUAAAAAUUUGCUUAUAUGCGAGUUCAUACGAACUCGGCUCGUCGAUAAUUACCCGUGUUGCAAAUAAUUUGUUUCGCAUGCGCAGCUGGCAUAAGACACGCUCUAAGAGCGAUGUCCAUUUAACGCGCAAAUUUUGAAUCAUGAACGUCAGCGGCGAGGAUGCUAAAUCGCUGAACAGCCUCGAAUACGAAGACUCUCUACUCACGCAGAUC
rnacentral:misc_RNA from 1 species